GCUUCUUGUCGCCACACGCCGCACCGCCAAGCUGAGCGCAGGGAGGACGAAGGAGCGCGGCAGCGCAGGAGGCCGACAACCCAUGGAUUCAGACAUCAACAGCUAAACUGACGCAAAUUUAGUGAUAUUUUUCACGAAGAUCGUUUUAUCGAGACAGUCAGACAACAUAUCACUAUCUGCGUAAGGAAUAGAUUGAAAUGGAAAAUGCCCGUGAAAGGAGCUGGAGAGGGAAAUUUCACCGACCUGGUCGAGUUAUCAAUCCUGAGGCAAAUAGAAGAGAUGAAAAAUGCCCACUUACUCCUCUAGAGGUUGGUAUGAUGCUGCGAGGCAUGGGAUUUGACAAUACAACCUUCCUCUAUGUAGCUUCUGGCAAAAUAGAGAAUGCUGCAAAAUACAUGGCUCCCCUUCGCCAGAUGUUCCCUCUUUUAGAGACCAAGGACACUGUUGCUUUGCCUGAAGAACUUGCUGAGUUUAAGGGGUACUCAUCUCGGUUAGCAGCAUUAGAUUACACUGUCUCUGUUCAGAGCCAGGUGUUUGUGACGACUCAAGGGGAGAACUUCCCUCACUUUCUGAUGGGGCACAGGCGUUACCUGCUAGGAGGGAAUGCAAAGACAAUAAAACCUGACAAACAGAAGCUGGUCUUAUCUUUUGAUGAUCCGAAUAUCAGGUGUACAUUUUGCUGAUGACGUUGGAAAAGCAUGGUCAAGCAUGGCAGUACAUUUUGCCGAUAAUACCGCUGGGAGCAUCCGCAAAGCAACCACACCAGCAUAAACAGAGGAAUCAGAGGCAGACGAAGCUAAAUAAUGUGUAAAACCUAGAACCUGACUAUCUUAGCUGGCCAUGCUGCUAUGCACGGUAGCUGUUUAGGUUCAAAAGGUUUCCGGACCAUGCUGAAGCCCAGAAGCCAUUAUUAUGAGAACGGUUGGCGGCCUAACCUGCCUGAAGAAGAGCAGUUUGCCGGCAUAUGUCAGAAUGCGGACGACGACCCUGGCGACGACUAUUCGAAGCUGACCUCCGCAGGAUGCCUCCAUGAGAACGGCUCGAAAGUCGAUGGGUCCGUAGAAGAGCCGUAUGCUCUCGCAUAGCCAGACGAUGACGACGAUUGCCAGCUGCUCUUUCGGAAGAAGUGGAAGGAGUAGCGGAAACUGAAACACAGAUGAAAACAUAGUGAAGCAAAAAACAGGAGAAAAAAAGCACGAGAAGUGUGGAAAGAAAGCAAGGUGGACGAACCACGCCACCAUCGAUCAAUUCCCGCAGCUGGCACAUCUGGCCGCCGAGUGAUAUGAGCAAAAGGAAUCGCAGGACUUCGCACAUCAUCAGCAACAAGGGCGUCAGCAAGGGAUGAAUCAGAAGGGUAAACAUCAGCCGAAGACGGACCAGGUGCGUCAACAGCUCGCAAAGAAGCCACGGGCAAAGGUGUCCAUGAACUCUGGUCUCGCAAGGAUGGCAAAUGUGAGCCGUUGUCCACAGGGAAUAAAUCUGAACAGAAGCAGGAAAUAAGUAAGAUAGAAAUCAAGAAGAUUGAGAUAAGAAAAGGAAGCAAAAAAUGAAGACAAACCAGGUAGAGAGGCAGUAAAAUCUUCAUCGGUUAACGAAGGGGCGAUAGCAGAGUCGACGACAGCAUCAAACGCCCCAGGAAAAAGAGGCUGGAUAGAAGCGCCGCCAACAGCAGUAAACCCAUCCCUGCCAUGCUCUCCAGAACGGCCAGCGAAAUCCCCUAGGUAAGCAGCAGAAGAAACCUGAUAACAAAGGUGUAAAGAAUUCUGCAAAGAAACAACAGCGAACAAAAGGCAUCAGUACCAGAGCCUGAAUCGAUAACCGGCCGUUUGCCCAGCCAAAUUUCACGUCUUCUCAGAGUUUCUUCCUCUAAUAAACCAGGCAAAGGCAAAACAUUGCUGUCAGGCAUGAACGAUGAAGAAGAUCCAACGGCAGUCUCAGUCUGGGCUGCAAGAGAAAC